rnacentral:rRNA from 1 species
AAGGGCACCACAAGAACGCGUGGAGCAUGUGGCUUAAUUUGACUCAACGUGAGAAAUCUUACCGGGUCCGGACACACUGAAGAUUGACAGGUUUAUGAAUUUUAAAAUGUUUUGUAUAAAUAUGCUGGACCUUUCAUUAUUAUGUGAUAAGUGGUGCAUGGCCGUUCUUAGUUCGUGGAGUAAUUUGUUUUUCUUAAUUGCAUUCUCGUAUAGGAUUUGAGUUUUAAAUGUGCCUUUGUUUUAGUAUACCGGAAAUUUACAUUUUUAUUUGUUUGUUUGCGGAAUGAUUUUUGGUAUGUAUUGAGUCCUGGAAGCAACGAACGUGAUUAUAUCCUCUUUGUUAUAUUUUUAGAGGGACAGCUAUGAUUUUUUAAAUCAGAUGAAGGUUGUGGAAAAAACAGGUCUGUGAUGCCCUUAGAUGUUCCGGGCUGCACACGUGCUACAAUGAUUAUUGCAGUAAGCAUCUCGUAUAUAAUACGGUGUUAUUUUUGUAUUUAUUACAUUAUAACAUUUGUCCACUUUGUUAAUUUUAUUAACAGAUGAAUCUCUUACGAAAGUUAGUGGGGAAUCAAUUGGAAGUAAUGAUUUUUUAAAUUUUCUUUUGAUUUUUGUAAGUACUUUAUGUUUGUUCUCUUUUCUGGUGUAAUUUUAUUUUUAUUUUUAUUCGGUUUUAGAGAUUUUAACGUGUACUUUUUGUUAAUUCAUGGUGGGACAGAUCAUUGUUUAUUGUUGGUUUCGGUCUUUAUUAGGAAUGCCUUGUACUGGUCUUUGGUUUAACAAACCACCCGGAAUACGUCCCUACCUUUUGUACACACCGCCCGUC